GACGAACGCUGGCGGCGUGCUUAACACAUGCAAGUCGAACGGAAAGGCCCUGCUUUUGUGGGGUACUCGAGUGGCGAACGGGUGAGUAACACGUGAGUAACCUGCCCUUGACUUUGGGAUAACUUCAGGAAACUGGGGCUAAUACCGGAUAGGAGCUCCUGCUGCAUGGUGGGGGUUGGAAAGUUUCGGCGGUUGGGGAUGGACUCGCGGCUUAUCAGCUUGUUGGUGGGGUAGUGGCUUACCAAGGCUUUGACGGGUAGCCGGCCUGAGAGGGUGACCGGCCACAUUGGGACUGAGAUACGGCCCAGACUCCUACGGGAGGCAGCAGUGGGGAAUAUUGCACAAUGGGCAGAAGCCUGAUGCAGCAACGCCGCGUGCGGGAUGACGGCCUUCGGGUUGUAAACCGCUUUCGCCUGUGACGAAGCGUGAGUGACGGUAAUGGGUAAAGAAGCACCGGCUAACUACGUG
rnacentral:rRNA from 1 species